rnacentral:rRNA from 1 species
GACGAACGCUGGCGGCGUGCUUAACACAUGCAAGUCGAGCGGUAAGGCUCCUUCGGGAGUACACGAGCGGCGAACGGGUGAGUAACACGUGAGCAAUCUGCCCAUCUCUUUGGAAUAAGCGUUGGAAACGACGUCUAAUGCCGAAUACGACCUCCUUUCGCAUGAUCGGAGGUGGAAAGCUCCGGCGGAGAUGGAUGAGCUCGCGGCCUAUCAGCUAGUUGGGAGGUAACGGCCCACCAAGGCGACGACGGGUAGCCGGCCUGAGAGGGUGACCGGCCACACUGGACUGAGACACGGCCCAGACUCCUACGGGAGGCAGCAGUGGGGAAUAUUGGACAAUGGGCGAAAGCCUGAUCCAGCAACGCCGCGUGAGGGAUGACGGCCUGGUGUAACC